rnacentral:lncRNA from 1 species
ACUCAAUCAUGAUCCAUCAAGUAUUUUGCUUUCACCCUAAUUAAGAGAUUCUUCUUUCAACUACUUCUCUUAUGUUUUUCAAAUAUAGAUUAUGAAAGGACUCAAACCUAACUAUAACCCAUCAAAAUUUUUCACAAAAAAAAGAAAAAAUGACUUUAAAAGAUUUGUGGGCCUUGUACCUAUUAUCCCCUCUUGUACCAAAUCAAGUAUAAAUUAUGAAGAAAUUUUGAUCCAACUAUAGCCCAUUAAGUCUCUUGGCAAGGG